UACGGAGGGUGCAAGCGUUAAUCGGAAUUACUGGGCGUAAAGCGCGCGUAGGUGGUUCGUUAAGUCAGAUGUGAAAGCCCCGGGCUCAACCUGGGAACGGCACCUGAUACUGGCGAGCUAGAGUACGGUAGAGGGGAGUGGAAUUUCCUGUGUAGCGGUGAAAUGCGUAGAUAUAGGAAGGAACACCAGUGGCGAAGGCGACUCCCUGGACUGAUACUGACACUGAGGUGCGAAAGCGUGGGGAG
rnacentral:rRNA from 1 species